UAGGGAAUCUUCGGCAAUGGACGAAAGUCUGACCGAGCAACGCCGCGUGAGUGAAGAAGGUUUUCGGAUCGUAAAACUCUGUUGUUAGAGAAGAACAAGGACGUUAGUAACUGAACGUCUGCUGACGGUAUCGAACCAGAAAGCCACGGCUAACUACGUGCCAGCAGCCGCGGUAAUACGUAGGUGGCGAGCGUUGUUCGGAUUUAUUGGGCGUAAAGCGAGCGCAGGCGGUUUCUUAAGUCUGAUGUGAAAGCCCCCGGCUCAACCGGGGAGGGUCAUUGGAGACUGGGAGACUUGAGUGCAGAAGAGGAGAGUGGAAUUCCAUGUGUAGCGGUGAAAUGCGUAGAUAUAUGGAGGAACACCAGUGGCGAAGGCAGCUCUCUGGUCUGUAACUGACGCUGAGGCUCGAAAGCGUGGGGAGCAAACAGG
rnacentral:rRNA from 1 species